AGGACAAUGCAAAUAGCUCUCGCCCUAAGAAUCGUUUACCUAUUUACAUACUUAUGUAUUUAUAGUAACUACAACAACAAAUUGAGCAACAGCCACAGCAGUGUGAAGGACGUUUGCAGUUGGUGCGCGUUUUUUGGCGCCACGCCAAUUUCACAACGCGAAAAAGCGGCAAAUCUCAUAGCAAAAGAACUGGGCGCAUACAUAACAUUUAGAAAGCGCAAAAUAGAUUAUUUAACUUUUUACGUAUUACGCAUCGAAUUCUUGUUUGCGUCACAUUCAAUCGCUCAUUAUCUCACUGCCACCCGCUCUCUUGCUCGCUCGCGUUCUGUCUCUUCCUCUUUCUCUCUCUCUCUCUCUCUCUCUUGCACGCACUCUACCCAACAUCGAAAACACCCCAAAGCAAAGCACCAACAAUAAAGCUGCAAAGGAGGCUCGUCCUUUUAGCCUAUUGUGUGGGUAUGUGUGUGUUUGUGGCUGUCGGUUUGUGGGCGUGCCAGGGGCCGUGUAUUGAUUUUUCAGUUACAAAAAAGACAAAAAAACUUUUGCCAAGUUUUGUGUACUGAUUUUUCGACAUUACAUAACCCGCACAUACUCACAUUUUCGGAGAUGGGCGGAUGGUUACGCUCUUUGUUUAAAGGUCAUUCGGCGGACAAUCUUUUUGGCGCAACACAAUAACGGAAAAUGCAGACAAAAAGUCAUUUGGCAACAGAAACAACGCAUCUCCUAUGCAAAAGAAAUCAAGCAACAACAUCGGCAGCAGCAGCAGUAACAACAACAACAACAACAA